rnacentral:rRNA from 1 species
AACGAACGCUGGCGGCGCGCCUAAUACAUGCAAGUCGAGCGAGAAGACGUAGCAAUACGUUUGUAAAGCGGCGAACGGGUGAGGAAUACAUGGGUAACCUACCCUCGAGUGGGGAAUAACUAGCCGAAAGGUUAGCUAAUACCGCGUACGCUCCUUGGACUUCGGUUCAGGGAGGAAAGCGAUGCCGAGGGUAUCGCGCUCUUGGAUGGGCUCAUGUCCUAUCAGCUUGUUGGNGAGGUAACGGCUCACCAAGGCUUCGACGGGUAGCUGGUCUGAGAGGACGAUCAGCCACACUGGCACUGCGACACGGGCCAGACUCCUACGGGAGGCAGCAGUAAGGAAUAUUGCGCAAUGGGCGAAAGCCUGACGCAGCGACGCCGCGUGGGGGAU